AUACUGUUGUCAUUAGCGUUUCUUGUCGUUAAAAAUGGGAAAUUAUUAGGCGAUAGUGUCGGGUAUAGAUUACGAUCCAAUGUUCCAGAUCGCUGUCAUUAACGAGAGUUGUCGUUGGUAGACUAAGAGGGAGCUGCCGCGCAAUGCCGCGCAAUGCGUGAUGGGAGUCGAGCAGACCAGCUGAUCAGCAUGAUCAAAAUGGCGGCCUUUUCGUAGCGAUAGCCCGGUAUCCAGCCGUAUAUAGCUCCUGUUCUCUCCGUAUCAUAGCUCCCGAGCACUGUCCCGAGUCUCUUCUGUUCUCUCCGCAAAUGGCAGGCGAGACUUGAGAGCUACAAUAUGGCUGGAUACCAGGCUAGAUGUAGCCUUAUGUGCGAUGUAAAAGCAAGUACCCGUACAACGGUCGUUUAUAUAAUUUUUCAAAAGAUUAUGGUUAGCAUCUGUGAAGAUAACACCACAUUGAUACUGAUAGGAGCCAUAGUUUUGAUAGUUGCUUGUGGCACGAGGUAGAUUCACAGCGGUAACCAGAAAAUCUCGGCGUACAAUUACGGCUGUCAACGUAACGCUCCCGGUUCCAGCCUUACAGGUACCAGACUCAACACAUGGCCGAACUAUUGGUGCAUAUGAGGAAAGCAGGCAUACCGGGACCAGUCUCCUUGCCUUUGGGACCAAGGGCGAUAUGGAAUACCCCGUGUUGUAUUCUAUUUAUAUCAUGCCAACCUGAGCAAACUCAAGUUUAUUGCUAAAAAGAACAAAUGACGGGACAAGAAGCUGAUGAUCAUGCAGCAGUCGAUUACCUGUUUCUACAUAGAGGAAUUAUUCAGUAACACCAGCCAUGUCCUAUUUUUUAAUGCAGUGAGGCUUAAACAAUAUGUCUCAUCGUCCUCAUCGGUCCCUUGACCAGGGGUGGUCGUGGGAGCACUUUGCUACUGAGCAAAUGAACAAUGAGUCUGUAAAAAGUUAAACUAGUAGUAGUAGAGGUGUACAGACAGCUUGUAUAUAGAAAGUUUUUUUUGUUAUUCUGCAGUGUGCUGUGUUUGUUAUCAUGUUAUAAUUGCUGUAACUCAGAUUCAAAUUCUUUUAAAAUCAUGUCUCUUUAGAUGGAAGAUAUAGUACUAGUAGAGUACAUUGAGUAGAAAAUGUUGAGGUUGUACAUGUAUCUGUUUUGCAUGUUAAUUACAACUAACUUGUAUUAUACAUGAUGCAGAGAACUUUCUAAUGUUCUGUGUUGUAUUAGAUAUUCCAUGUAACAGCCUUUGCAUGUAAGGUAGCUAUGGGGAAGGAUGGAUUAGUUGUAUGUUUCAGAUGCUCAUCCAAAAAUAUUUAGGUAUAUGGGCAAUUGCUGAUGACUUUCAAAACACCAAAACACAGCGUUGGAGCUAUUGAGCUUAAACUGUACAACUGUACAUGUAUGAGGUCACUGUCAAUGUCAGAUACAUGUGAUGAGACCUAGUGCGAGUCUUCCUAUGUAAUCUUGACAUAAGUACAUGAUGAUGGAGAAUAACAGGAAUAGGAAAUUGAUUAAGAAGCUUUUAUUUUGUUUUUAUUUUGUAUUAAUAUUCUGGGUAAUCUGGAUAUUUCCAUAUCAGUUUAUUACAUAAAUGUGUGCGCCUGUACAUUCCACUAAAAGGCCAGAAGUUGUAUGUGAAUGAAGCUAACUGGAAUUGGGAUUGGGUCAUUACUAGAUCUGUACAGUGGCCUGGAAGAUUUUUUACAAAGUAUCAACUUUGUGAGUAUUAGCUGUAAAGGGUUAGAAGAUUUAGUGUUUGUCCAAAGUGCAAUAUUGUAUUUGUCCAAAAUCAAUCAGUAGUUUCUUAUAUGUAUACAAAUAGAUAAGUGCAAACACAAAGGAUUAUUACUAUAUCUAGUUGCAUAUAAAAGUUGUCGGUCGGUCUUAUCCAUUUGCGGGACUCUGUUUUGUCAAGCUUUAUUUCAUUGUAGUCAAGUCAUCAUGAAAUAAAUAGUGGACUUUGAAAAAGCAA